rnacentral:rRNA from 1 species
UACGAAGGGGGCUAGCGUUGUUCGGAAUUACUGGGCGUAAAGGGUUUGUAGGCGGUUAUAUAAGUCAGUGGUGAAAGCCCGAGGCUCAACCUCGGAAUUGCCAUUGAAACUGUAUAGCUAGAGAGUGUUAGAGGAAAGUGGAAUUCCUAGUGUAGGAGUGAAAUCCGUAGAGAUUAGGAGGAAUAUCGAUGGCGAAGGCAGCUUUCUGGGACAUUUCUGACGCUGAGAAACGAAAGCGUGGGUAGCAAACAGG